CUCUUCCGCCGCUCCCUUCUGCCUCGCGCAGAAUCCCUACCUUCCUUGCCUGCCUCCUGAAUCUCUCCUCUUUCUCCCCAAAAAUCGUUUCUUCUUCCUCCCGCCGCAUCUCCUGCUCGCGCCCACCCCGUCCCUCCUAGCGUUGAUGGAAGAAGCGUGGCGGGCCCUUGGCUCGGCGGUCGGCUACGCUGCCUUCCGCCCCCGCCUCCCCCUGGCGCCGCCGCCCCGGCACCCGUGGCGUGGGGUGCAGCCGUGAUGGCGCGCCGGGAGACGGUGGCCAAGGAGUCGUCCGCGCAGGCGGUGAGCCGGAUCGUGUCCAGCUGCGCCAACUCGACCGGCCUGGCCCCCGUCCACCCGUCGUCGACGCCAACGCCGUCAUCUCGCUCGCCUCCACCGCGGGCCGGCUGGUCAAGAUGCCAGAGGUGCUCGAGGAGGUGCGCGACGCCACAACGCUCUGGAGGCUCGCGCUCCUGCCCACCCCCGUCGAGACCAUCGAGCAAGAGAGUAGGGCCAGCUCGAACCGUGUGCACCAGGAAGAAGGCUAGCUCGAACAUUGUUUGGUGAAGCAAUCAGCUGAGCUGGUUUUGUUCUUGUCGCCUUGGAUCGUGCAGCGAUUGGAGGAGGACUUGGUGCAGAGGAAUGGAGUACGAGUACAGAUGCUGCUUCCGUUGAUCUCAGAGCAAGAAAGGUCCGGCACUGGAGAUGAAAAAGCAAGGAGCCUUGUACUUCUUCUCACCGACAGCAGCACGAGCAGGGGACCUCCGGCGACAGCACACCAGCAGGUGACCUCCGGGCGGCUACACGAGCAAGGGACCAGUAGCAACUUGCAGAGCAGCAGGGGAAAGAGCUCGAGCUUGAGGUCCAGGACGAGCUUGAGGGAGCUCGAGGUCCAGGCGCGGCCGGAACUCGCGGUUGAGGCGCUCGAGACCCAGGCGCGCACAAAUCCUGGCCGGCGGCGGCACAGAUCCUAGGUGGCGGAGGGGAUAUCGGCCGCGCAGGCCUGGCGGC